rnacentral:misc_RNA from 1 species
UUUCCGUAGGUGAACCUGCGGAAGGAUCAUUAAAGAAUUUGCCCCGUCCUCUCGAGGAUGGGUCCUCUUCUAAACCGUGUAUACAUACCUUCGUUGCUUUGGCGGGCCGCCGUCUCGGCGUUGGCUUCGGCUGACUGUGCCCGCCAGAGAACCCCAACUCUUCUGUUUAGUAUUGUCUGAGUACUAUAUAAUAGUUAAAACUUUCAACAACGGAUCUCUUGGUUCUG